rnacentral:rRNA from 1 species
ACGCGCUAAAUAAACCGAGAGGGGUUGGCAAAGCGUUAAAUCGGGAUUACUGGCGUAAAAGCGCACGCAAGGCGGUUCUGUCAAGUCGGAUGUGAAAAUCCCGGGCUCAAACCUGGGAAACUGCAUUCGAAACUGGCAGGCUAGAGUCUUGUAGAGGGGGGUAGAAUUCCAGGUGUAAGCGGUGAAAAUGCGUAGAGAUCUGGAGGAAUACCGGUGGCGAAGGCGGCCCCCUGGACAAAGACUGACGCUCAGGUGCGAAAGCGUGGGGAGCAAACAGGAUUAGAUACCCUGGUAGUCCACGCCGUAAACGAUGUCGACUUGGAGGUUGUGCCCUUGAGGCGUGGCUUCCGGAGCUAACGCGUUAAGUCGACCGCCUGGGGAGUACGGCCGCAAGGUUAAAACUCAAAUGAAUUGACGGGGGCCCGCACAAGCGGUGGAGCAUGUGGUUUAAUUCGAUGCAACGCGAAGAACCUUACCUACUCUUGACAUCCAGAGAACUUUCCAGAGAUGGAUUGGUGCCUUCGGGAACUCUGAGACAGGUGCUGCAUGGCUGUCGUCAGCUCGUGUUGUGAAAUGUUGGGUUAAGUCCCGCAACGAGCGCAACCCUUAUCCUUUGUUGCCAGCGGUCCGGCCGGGAACUCAAAGGAGACUGCCAGUGAUAAACUGGAGGAAGGUGGGGAUGACGUCAAGUCAUCAUGGCCCUUACGAGUAGGGCUACACACGUGCUACAAUGGCGCAUACAAAGAGAAGCGACCUCGCGAGAGCAAGCGGACCUCAUAAAGUGCGUCGUAGUCCGGAUUGGAGUCUGCAACUCGACUCCAUGAAGUCGGAAUCGCUAGUAAUCGUAGAUCAGAAUGCUACGGUGAAUACGUUCCCGGGCCUUGUACACACCGCCCGUCACACCAUGGGAGUGGGUUGCAAAAGAAGUAGGUAGCUUAACCUUCGGGAGGGCGCUUACCCACUUUGUAUUCACUGGG